ACGUGUCGGAGCACGACUUAGAGGCAUAACCGCAUUGUAGACAUGUCGCAAGUGAGGUAAUCUUCACACAACCCAUGUAAUACAUAAGGGAAAGAGAUACAUAGUUGGCUUACAAUCGCCACUUCACACAAUAACAUAAAUAAAUCAUUACAUCAACCAGAUACAAUCAAGGUCCGACUAUCGAACCAAAAUAAAAGAAGACUACCCCAAAUGCUACACAGAUCCCCAAUCAUCCCAACUGGGCUCCACUACUGAUCAACUGAAACGAAACAACACUACGAACAAGGUCUUCAUCGAGCUCCUCCUUGAGCUCGGUUGCGUCACCUAUACGGUAUCAUCGAGCACCUGCAAACUAGUUUUGGAAGUAUCUGUGAGUCAUGGGGGCUCAGCAAUCUCACACCCUCGCGAUCAAGACUAUUUAAGCUUAUAGGUAGGGUAAAAGGUAUGUGAGGUGGAGCUGCAGCAAGCACUAGCAUAUAUGGUGGCUAACAUACGCAAAUGAGAGCGAGAAGAGAAAGCAAAGGCAUGGUCGAGAAACUAUGAUCAAGAAGUGAUCCUGAAACUACUUAAGUUCAAGCAUAACUCCAACACCGUGUUCACUUCCCGGACUCCGCCGGAAAGAGACCAUCACGGCUACACACGCGGUUGAUGCAUUUUAAUUAAGAUAAGUUUCAGGUUUUCUACAAUCGGACAUUAACAAAUUCCCAUCCGCCCAUAACCGCGGGCACGGCUUUCGGAAGUUCAAAACCCUGCAAGGGUGUCCCAACUUAGCCCAUCAUAUUCCUUCUCCCAGGAGGACCCAAUCAGGCUCGGAAUCCCGGUUACAAGAGAUUUCGACAAUGGUAAAACAAGACCAGCAAAGCCACCCAGAUGUGUCGACAAAUCCCGAUAGGAGCUGCACAUAUCUCGUUCUCAGGGCACACCGGAUGAGCCAUACGUCGGGUUGGCCAACCCAGAGUUGCCCCUGGAAGCUCCAGACAUCGCUCAGUUAGACCAACACUUAGAGAAGCACUGGCCCGGGGGGGUGGGGUUAAAAUAAAGAUGACCCUUGAGCUGGCCGACCCAAGGGAAAGAAAAGGCUAGGUGGCAAAUGGUAAAACCAAUGUUGGGCCUUGCUAGAGGAGUUUUAUUCAAGGCGAACUGUCAAGGGGUUCCCAUUAUAACCCAACCGCAUAAGGAACGCAAAAUCAAGGAACAUAACACCGGUAUGACGGAAACUAGGGCGGCAAGAGUGGAACAGAACACCAGGCAUAAGGCCGAGCCUUCCGCCCUUUACCAAGUAUAUAGAUGCAUUAAGUAAAUACGAUAUAUUGUGAUAUCCCAACAAUAAACAUGUUCCAACAAGGAACAAACUCCAAUCUUCACCUGCAACUAGCAACGCUAUAAGAGGGGCUGAGCAAAGCGGUAACAUAGCCAAACAACGGUUUGCUAGGACAAGGUGGGUUAGAGGCUUGACAUGGCAAUAUGGGAGGCACGAUAUAGCAAGUGGUAGGUAUCGCGGCAUAGGCAAAGCAAAAGAGUGAGUAACUAGCAAGCAAAGAUAGAAGUGAUUUCGAGGGUAUGGUCAUCUUGCCUGAGAUCCCGCAAGGAAGAAGAACGAGUCCAUGAAGAAUACAAACGAACGCAGAUGAACGGAUCCUCACAAACAUCACGUUAUCAGAACUAACCCGAAGAAGCAACACCGGAAAGAAGCAAACAACAUAGUAAACAACCAACACAUAAACAUGGCCUGAUGCACAACCAAGUAUGAUGCAUGUCCGGUUUAAAUAGGCAUGGCAUGGCAAAGGGCACAAACAAAACUACAAGUUAAGUGGAGCUCAAUAUGCAACGAGUUGCAUAUUGACGGAACACCACAUCAAUUAUUUAGUUCUCUCUCCUUUAGGUACUCAACAAUAUUAAAUGUUGGUUAACAUGACAAGAGGUGAAGCAUAACAAAACUAUACCAUUUAAACAAUUUAAAUGGGGCCGGAUAUAACAAACAACAAAUCUGGUAAAUCCCCAUAUGCAUUAGCAAUUUAAUGCAACAACAAUUUUAAACAUUUUAAAUGUUGUUAUCAUGAUGCGGAUGACAUGUGCAAGUUUAUGCAAUUUUUAUUAAAAGUUGACAAGAGCAUUAUGAAGCAUUUGUCACCGUGGUGGAAAGAAAAGGGGUGCCACGGCAACGAUAACGAAAACGGUGCCACGACAACGUUCCGGUUCCGGUAACUCGAUUGAGAUACCGAUGCAAAGGAGAAGUGUGCGGAUGCGUGCAAAAGAUGGUGUGGCACUCCCGGAUACCGGGUGUCCCAUGAGUCGACGAUGGUGGCAAGGCAAAAGAGGGGCAACGUGCACCGACGAUUCGAGCACGGAGCAAGCACGAGCAUCUCAUACAUCACACCUGCAUUCGUUCACGGGCGGUCGUCUCAGGGUUAUACCUUCGGAGCGUGCAAAGGGGACGGUUCUCGUUCGUAGAGGGAAGUAGGCGUUCUCGCGACGGCGGUAGUGGAAGUAGUCGUUCUCGCAUGCUCUAGGGUCGACGGUAGAGGUUCUCACGAUCUCGGCGAGGAUAGUUGGACACGUUUUGUAGGGGAAGUAGAGGUUCACGUUUCGUAGUCGUUUGGGGUCGCUGAUAGUUGUACAAAUUCAUUGUUGGACUUGACGGAUCCGAUGCCUCCGGACAUAGUGGUACAUGUUCGUUUUUUCGGAGAGGUACUUGGCAUUCUUCGGUCAUAGGUACUUGACGUUUUGCUACCCGGGUCUUCGGCGACGGUCAUUGUACACAUGGCGUUGGGGUACUUGUCAGUCCGGUCUUGACGGUCUCGUUUUUGUGACGGUAGUCGUACUAGUCGGCGGUUGUGGAACUUGACAAAAUGCACGUCGACGGUAGUUGUUCUCGUAUCAUCGCGGUACUUGGUGAUAUUUGUGCGUAGAGGUACUUGGCAGCCUCGUGUAAACGAACUUGAGGUACUCCGGGGCAGAGGAAUCAACGUGGCAACGGUGGUCUCGACAUAUCCAGAUCGCAGCAAGGCCAAGGGGCCUCACGCACCGCAAAUCGAGGCAGCGGCGGCGGGGCUUGGGGCUGACGAAGAGGAUCCUGGCGAGGACGACGUUCUCCAGCGAGGUGGCGACGGACUUGGGGUGCAGGGGUGUCGAGGUGCUGAGCUGCAGCUGUUCGCUGCAGAGAGAGACAACCAGGGGACGCGAGGAGGCCAGGAAGACGGGGAGGUCGAGGAGGGUGGCGCUGCAGCAGGGUGUGGCGGCUGGGUUCUUGCCGGAGGAGGACCGAGCAACAGGCGAGCAGAGGAGGCGGGGUUGGCGCCUGAGUUGUCCUCCUCUCCAUGGCUUUGGACGACGAUGAAGAUGAAAGUCAGGGCACCGCGAGCGGAUGCACUGGUGUUGGAACUUGGCGCGGAAGACGACGAGGGGCUCCAGGAAGGAGAUGGCGGCGGGCAGAAGCACGGGUCCGGGCGGUGGAGGUAGCAGGCCGGCGGCGACGGGUGCUGGGGCUUCAACCUACUCACUCCCCUGCUUGGUGCAGGAGCCUGCGCCUGAGAUCAAAGGCAGGAGAGGCGCGAUGCAGGGUUUGCAAGGGAGCGGGGCCGAGCGAGGGGAAGGAGGAGCAUGGGGGAUCGAGAGCAAGGAGAGGAAUGGGGGAUCGAGCGGGUGGCAUCGGGCACGGACGCUCCUAGCAGCGUGAGGAGGGAGACGAGGAGGGGAUCGGCCAGAGAGGGAGGUUUCGGUCGGACGGCUAGGGUUAGCAGCGUUAGGUGGGCUUGGGGCCAGCCCAGUAGAGAGGAGGGGUCAGCUGGGCUUGCUGGAAUGGGCUCUCCCUCUCCUCUCUUUCUUCUUUAAUCGAAAAGAAAAUAGAGAGAGGGGGAAAAGAAGGGGGGUUAGGGAAAAAGAGUUUGAGAAAGAGGACAAUUUUUCUAGACUCAUAAAAAUAAACAUGACCACAGAAAAAAUAGAAGUGACAAGAUUGCAGGAAUUAAAUUCAAAUUCAUUUGAAUAUAAUUCAAAUGGUUUUGAAUUGGGACUAGGUUCGGUGAGGCCAAAAAUGUUCGGGUUUUUGGUGGAGCUCUGGAAUAUGAUGAAAGAAUAUAUGGCAAUGUUGAAGACCAAGAAUUAAAAUAACAACGACAUUGGGAUAUUUUGCAAGUGUGUUUAUGGGUGAAUCCAAAUUAUUGGAAUAUUUAAUAUAGCUCCCUAAUAUGGGAGCAUAUGUUAUAUAGAGAAAUCACCAUGUGAGUUCCCUCGAUUUAAAUGGACCGAAGAUCCAUGCAAUUUAUUUAGUUGAUUUGAGAUGCAAAAAUUAAUGACAUGAUGGCAUGAUGACAUGAUGCAAAGAUGAAUGCAACAGAUGAAACAAAACACACAACGAAACCCGGAAACCCUGGAAGGCAUCUGCAGCUCCGGUCUUGGGGCGUUACAAUACUCCACCACUACGAGAGGAUCUCGUCCCGAGAUCUAGAAUGGCACCGGAGGGAAACGGAAGAGAAAAGAGAAGAGGUAAAACUAAGUUGCUUCUUUGACUAAUGAGUGAAACCAUGAAACUUGAGAGGUUGAACAAAUUUGAAAGAAAGAAUACAACGAAGAUGAACAGAGUUGAAAACACUCCAUUAAAAAAGAGGAACAAGGGAGAACAAAUUCGAGCAGCACCCCGGUUGAGAAGUUAUGCCAGACUUGAUAAGAUGAAAAGAACUUGAGCAGAGGACAUAACACUCCGGUUAAAUGGAUAAGCACGAAAAAAACAAGAUCCUGACAAGAACAAGAAGAAGGUUUGCAGAGAGCAACCUCACAAUGCCUCCGGAAGAAAUGAGAGGUUGGAAUGGAAUGAACGGAGGAGUAACAAUAUCUUCUACCGCAAAUGAGCUUGAAAGCAGCUUUAGGAGAAGGGUCGAACGGAGUUGUUGGAAAACCAACAACGAAAAGAAUAAGCUUGAUGUGGUCUUAUGGAAUACAUCUCAAACUAUGAGGUGACGACCUGCCACUCACGGGAAAAAAAAUUGGAUUGAUAUGAACAAGAAGACAAGAAAGUUAUUUCACCGGGAGGAUAGAUGAAGAACUUGGGUCAUUUAUAAGCACGAUAAAUAGCAACAAUCCUUAGGGAAAGCUUUAGGUGAAAUGUAACCCAAGAUAACUCCAAUGAAGAGAUUGAUGGAUUUAAGAUACCUCAUUCUUGUGAAUGAAGAAUGAUAUAUUACCACCUCAAAAGAUAAGGGAGAACAAUUGCACUCUGAAUUGCAAGAAGAAGAAAGCUUGAGCUCCUCUGAAAAGAAUCACGAAGAACACUUCGAGAAGGAAUUAAAUCCUUGAUGAACCAUCAUGUAGCGCCUCCAUGAAGAACUCCGGUAAACGAAAGGAUGACAAAAGAAAGAGAAGUUGAGAAUAUAAGGUGAAGCCUUGAAAUGAUUAAAUGGAGCUUUGCGACGAGAUAAAUGAGAGAUCUUGAAACUCCGGGAAAAGAAAAGAUGAAACAAUUGAAAUCAAGAAGUUGAUGAGCCUCCGGAAUAAGGAAUUAAUCACUUGGAUGAAACAAGAAUAAGAAUUGCAUUAUGCUUAUCCUUCACCAAUUAAAUUGAUGACAAGCAACGGAUUUUUGCAUACUACUUAUUCUCGUUGAAAAGGAUCAACAGAGGUAUAGCAUAAAUUUGAGAAGGUCUUCAACAAACCAGCGGUAGGAUUGGAAAGAACGAGUGACUUGAUACGGUAACAAAAGAAGAGAUCUCUUGAAUGAACCACCGUAAGAAUUGAAAAUGAACGAAGGAAAGAUAAAGAAACACCGGGUAUAAUUAGCAAAUGAACGAAGAUGCUUGCUAGGAUUUAGAUACAUGAGAGCGAAGAGAUCUUGAAUUGAUUAGAGAAUAUUUGAAUGAUGCACCGGUAAGAUUGGGAGAAACGGGAGCUGAAAGCUAGAAUGAAUAAUUCUGAGAUCAUGGGCUCCAGAGAAUCAAACUGAAAAUACUCUGAAUUACUCCGGAUGGGUGAAAAGAAUAUCUCGCAAUCGAAAAACAAUUAUGAGAGUAUGACAUUUAAGCUAAAACCAUGAAUCUUGAAGAGAAAGGAGCAAGAUUGAGAGAAAAAACUUCUUCGGUCUUCAAAUGUUGAUCAUGACGAUGCGAAACACCAACAAGAGUUAUUAAGAUACUCCGGGGUAAUGAAAAGCGAAGGGGUUGAGCCAAACGAUGAAAAGAAUUUGAAAGAUCUUGGAGAAAAGCAUUUGACUGAUGAAAAAUUCAUUCUUACGUCAAGCUUUGAAAUGAAUUUGUGAACAACUCCGGGAAGAUUAGAAGAGUAAGGUAAGAUCCUGGGAAAAGACCUGUGGGUUAGGGCCCACUGAAAAGAAACACCGUUGAACGAUUACUUGAAAGAUAUUGCACCGGUUGAUUUAAAUGGCUUGAAUGAGACAACAUUCUCGAAAGAUCUUGAAUGAAUCUAGAAUGACAAGACUAGCCUUCUGAGAUAUCUUCAGCACUCCGGAACAAUUAAAUAGUGAGAAGUGGAAUGAUAAUAAGGUGCACCGGCAUGGAAAACAUUUGAAACGAGUUAAAGGAUAUGACUAACACCAAAAGCUUGAAUUGAAUCCGCCGGAGAAGAAAAAGAAUGACGAAUGAUGAACUUGAAGCUCCGUUAGAAUCUUCAUGAGAAACAUCAGAUUAGAAUAUUGACGGAAAAGAAUGGAGAGACUUCAAAUGAAUAAGAUGGAUACUUGAUUAAGAUAUAUGAGUCCUUGAAGAAACAAGGGUGGGAGGGCGGGAAAACAAAGACAACUUGGAGACGGAUGAAACAAACACCGUUGAGAAGACUUGGAGUUGAUCUUGCGAAUGUUGAAAUGAACGUAUCCACUUGAAGAGAAACACGCCGGUUGAAAAGGAUUGACAAGACAGUCUCGAUUAUCAUGAAGGAUUAGUAUUCACAUAGGAACAUGAGAACACCGCUUAGGAAAGGUAUUGUCACAUCCCUAGUUCUAGUACGACCUAGGCUAGCCUUCAUGUGUUGCAUCAUGUUUAAAUUUCAUUUAAAUUUGAAAUGGGGAUUUGUAAAACCCUCAGAGAUCAUUUCUGGAAAUGACCCAGAUAAAAAUUGCUCCAAAAGGGUCCAAGAAAAUGUUCAUGUCUCUCUCUGAAAAUACUGGGCAGAGGUAAAAUUCAAACCAAUAUUUUUAGGAGCUCAUAAAUAUUUAUUUUGGCCAUUUGGAAUUAAUCCAGUAAUUAUUUGCGUUGGAUAAAUAUUUUUUAUAUAUAUAAAAUAUUGUCCAAUAAUUCUGAAUUUUGGUGAGGGGCUUUGGAAUAAUCCUUUAGGCCCCUGCAAAAAUUGUUAGAAGAAAAUAAAUUGAUUUAGUAUUUUUAUUAAAUCAAAACAAAGGUCAGAAAAUAAAAAAGGAAACAGAAAAGGAAAAAAAACCUUACCUGGGCCUCCUACCUGACAGCCCAACGGCCCAGCAGGCCAGCCCAGCCAGCUGGCCGACGCCAGUCAUCCCUGACCUCUCACCGGGAGGACAGGGCGUGUGGCCGACGCGCGCGCGCCGCCGUGCCGCCACGCCACCUGCCUGGCUGGCCUCCCCCUCGUCGCCCUGGUCGCUCUGCGCGACGCCACGCACCGCCCCGCACCUCUCUCACUCUCUCUCACUCUCCCUCCUCCCCUGGAUCCCUCUCUCUUGACCCGCCCGAGCGCUGCCGUCGCCGCCGCUCGCCGUUGCCGUAGCCACCGACUUCCCCUCGCCCUCUCUCCGUGUCUGCAAGCUCCGCCACGUCUGCGUCUACCUCUCCGUCGAGCCACGCGCCUUAGGAGGCCCUGGAGCGCCUCCAUCGCUGUCGUCUUCAUCUCCGGCCGCCGUGGAUCCCCAUCGCCGCACCGUCGACCUCAGCGCGUCCCCGAGCUCAUUGACGACGUCUACGAUCUCCCAGUGAGCUCUACUUCGUUCUCCCCUCCUCCCUGUGCUCGUUUGCCCCGCCUAGCUAGCUCAGCUGCCGCGCCCGAGACCUCAUUGCCGCCGGCCAUGGCGCCACCGUGGCCAGAGGCCGAGCCAGCCGCUCCCGCGCGCGUCACCAUGCUCUUGGUGACGCUAGGAGGCCGUAGAGGGCCUCCGCAGUCCCUGCCGUGCCCCGCAGCCCGUUUUCACCCGGAGCCGUGCUCCGGCCGCCGCCUCGAGCUCGUUUCCGGCGAGCUCAGGCACCCCCGCAGCCUCCUGCUUGCUCCAAACAACGCGGACGAGCUCCAGCUCCUCGUCCGUGAUCUCCGCCGCCUAAAUGGUCGCCGGAGGGCGUUUCCCGAGCCCUCCGCCGUGUUCGGCCUCGCCGGCGGUUAAACGCCGGUGGGGUUUGACCCCUUUGACCUCGCGGGCCCGUCAGGUGGGCCCCAUGGGUCAAGUGAUUAGCUUAAGGCUAAUCACCAUUUAACUAAACCUGACACUGACAGUGGGCCCCAGCGCCACUAAUCCUAUAAUUAGGAUAAACUAACCCCCUGUUAACUAACUGGUCACUGACGUGUGGACCCCACACAUCAGGUUUGACCUGGUCAGCUCCGUUGACCUGCUGACGCAGGCAUGACGCAAUGCGGAUGCAAUAUUUCAUUUUUUGGUUUAAAAUUAAUCAGGAAAUUCUAGAAAAUGUUCAGAACUUCAAAAAUUCAUAGAAAUUCAACUGUAGCUCAGAUUGAAAUAAUUUAUAUAUGAAAAAUUAUUAGAAAAAUUCAAUCUAUCCAUCUGUACCACUUUCAUGCAUGUUCAACCAACUUAUACCACUGUAUAAGUGAAAACAUGAUAAUGGCAUUUUAAAUGCUAAAUAUGGAGUGCAUAUGAACCCUUGGUCCAUAUGGACUUCAUUUAAAUGGUUGCUAGAUGCAUUAUUGCAAUCAUAACAUCAUUACCAUGUUCAUGCAUCAUAAUGUUGCAUAUGCUUGUGUUUUGAUUUCCGACACCGUUCCUUCUCGAUAGGUCCUGCUCCGGAGAGUGUUUGAGAGUACCUGUCUGAGGAGCAGUGCCCCCUGUUGAUCUACCAGGCAAGCAACCCCCCUUGUUCAUUCCGAUACAAUCCCACUCUCUCGUUCUUGCUCUCCUUUAUUGCAUUAGGACAACAACGAUUCAACUACUACUUUAUGCUGCGGUAGCUGAACCCAUUCCUCUGCAUGACCUGUCAUUGCCAUAGUAAAUAGUUAAAAACCCACUAGCAUGUGUAGGAGUUGCUUGAGCCAUGUUGUGUUCUUGACAUGCCAUGCCUGCUAUUGCUUAGAGUAUGUCAGGUCUGAUUCAUUGGGAAUGAAUUGGAGUACAGUGUUAUGUUCUGAUGUUGAGAGUUAAGCGUGUGAACACGAUUUGGUAAAGGUAGCGGUGAGAGGCCAUGUAGGAGUACAUGGUGGGUUGUCUCACUGGAACCGUCCCUAAGAACUGAGUUCUGUGUAUGUUGUCCAAGGACUAGCUACUACCACAUAUUGGGUUCCGGUAACUCGACCCCUCUCGACUUAUUAGCCAACUUGAUCUCUGUCCAGGAGUUGCAAAUAGUUUCUGGUGUUUAUAGGUAGUGCUAUUUUUCUACCGAGUGGCACCCGGCAGGGUGGACUUGGGACAGACUAGGCACACGUGGCCCAGUGUAUUGAGUGGCACCCGAAUGGUGGGCUCGGGAACCCUGUACACAUCGUUUGGGGCCGUGAGCGAAACCCCGGCCGGAUCUCCUUGCGAAUGGAACCCGAAUAGGCGAUAAACCUGGAUUAGAGUCCGGUUUGGUUAGUCAGGUCGUGGCCGACACCCUCGCCAGGCCUCCGCUUGAAGGUUGCCGAGAUACAUGAUGUGUAUAUGGUGAUAAGUGGUGAGAGCGUGUAUGAAGAAGUACACCCCUUCAGGGUUAACAUGAUCUAUUCGAAUAGCCGUGUCCUCGGUUAUGGACUUCUUGGAUGCUUACAUGGUACAUAGAAAACUUAAAGUGUAUACUCUAAAAUGCUCAAGACAAGUGUGAGUGAUAUGGAUGGCCUUCUCGUGGAGAGACGGGGAUGAAUCCAUAGUAGUGUAUUGAUGUGGUGAUUAGUGGACUCGUGUGCGCUGCCUCAUCUCAAAGAAGUUUCUCAUUGUCGUAGAACAGGAUAGCCACUGAGUCAAAGCUAGCUUGCUGCAACUAAACCCCACAUUACCUUCUUGAUACAAAUGCAUGUAUGAUAGGAUCUGAUGUAAGUCUUGCUGAGUACCUUUGUACUCACGUUUGCUUUAUUUAUGUUUAAGAUGAGACAUCUGUCUCACUAGUAGUACCGCUUGGACUUCGACGAGUAGCUUGUUACCUCAGCUACGAUCUUGUACCCUUGGGAGGGACUUGUAGAUAGUCAGGCUUUCCAGCCUUUUUAUUUUGUAGUUGUUUGUACUCAGACAUGUAAUGCUUCUGUUGCUUGUAUGCUCUGAAUGAUGGGUCAUGUGACCCCUGUUUGUAUUUAAUGCUAUGUGGCUCUUCUGGGCCUUUAUCUAUAUGAGUUUGCGUUAUGUUGUGAUGCCAUGUUUUACAGCACAUACUUGCAUGUUAUGCGUACGUGUGACGUGUAUUGAUAUGUGUGGGAUCCGACAAUCUAGUUGUUUAUCCUUGGCAGCCUCUCUUAUGGGGAAAUGUAGUCUAGUGCUUCCUUGAGCCAUAGUAGUCCGCUACAGCCCGGUUCACCGGAGUCCUGCUAGCCCAGCACUACUGCUCAGGACACUUGACUGGCCGGCAUGUGUUUCACUUCGUUCCUGUGUCUGUCCCUUCGGGGAAAUGUCACGCGGUGACAUCCGAAGUCCUGUUAUCCCAAUGCUACAGCCCGGAUUCACACGCUGCUGACCGACACGCUCGAUGUGAAUCAUGUAUGCCUGUCCCCAUAGGUUAGUGCCGCUUUGGGUUCACGACUAGCCAUGUCAGCCCGGGUUCUCUGUCAUAUGGAUGCUAGCGAUACUAUCAUAUACGUGAGUCAAAAGGCGCAAAUGGUCCCGGGCCAUGGUAAGGCGACACCCGUGGGAAUACCAUGCGUGAGGCCGCAAAGUGAUAUGAGGUGUUACAUGCUAGAUCGGUGUGACUUGGAAUCGGGGUCCCGACAGCUUUGGUAUCAGAGCCUGACUACCUAUAGGAUUACCAAGCCAACCUGGUCGAAGUUGAGUCUAGAAAUUCUUUAGCUAUAUAGGGGAAUUGAUUGUGGAAGGGAACGUAAGGCUCUUUUUACUCUUUAUGCCUCAUGCCUUCUGAUCUGAGUCAUACUAUCUUUCCUACGGGGUUAAGGAACUAGGCUUUCUCUUCCGUCUAUCAGGAUCACGUGUUCCUACUCCGUAGUCUCUAAGGUUUGGUUGAUCUGAGUCAUAUCCCAGUUUGAGUACCUUCGGUGUAGCCUGUUUAGCAAUAUCCCAGAACCUUGAGUGAUGAUGUUGAGUAUGGUGCUACCCCGUCUUUGGCAGAAUGUCUCAUUUCUAGCAUUUCGCUGCCGUUAUGCUGCCGAAAUUGUUCUAGGAGUUCAAGAGAUAGUAUUUUUCCUCAUACUAUAUUCUACAUCCUUAUGAUGAUGCUGAAUCCAUCCUUGUUUUCUUGGUUGGUUCUUCAGGAUGUCGUCAGUUAACCGAAGUUCUGUUGCUCAUAGCCAAAACCACGGAGAUGGUAAGGAUGAGGAUCCUCCCGACCUGCCUUCAUUGGCAGAGUUCAUGUUAGAGAUGGAGAAGAACAAGCGAGAGUCUAACCGCUUGUUGGCACGUAUUGAGGAGAACACCUCCCAUCAGCACAAAGAGUCAGUGUCCAUCUAUGAUUUCAUUGGUCUGAAACCACCUACCUUCCAUCAUUCCAUCGAACCACUCGAUGCAGAUGACUGGCUCCGUAGUAUCACACACAAGCUGCGUUCAGCGAACGUAGCUGAAAGUAACAAGGUCACCUAUGCUGCUUAUCAUCUGGAAGGUCCUGCUAGUAUUUGGUGGCAGAACUAUGAGGCUAUGCUUCCAGCUGGCCAGAAAACCACCUGGAGAGAUUUCACUAAGGCUUUUCGCGAGCAUCACAUCCCUCUGGCUCUCAUCGACCGCAAGAGAGAAGAGUUUUGUAGUUUCACCCAGAGUAAGAUGGCUGUUGAUGCUUAUAGUAGAGAAUUUGAGAACCUUGCCUGCUAUGCUAUAGAAGAAUUGUCCACAGACGCCAAGAAGCAGGCUAGGUUCCGGAAGGGUCUCAACCCCAAGUUGCAUCGUGAUCUCCACUUGCAUCAUUGCAAUACCUUCCAGGCUCUUGUGAACAAGGCCAUUAAUGCAGAGACAGCUCAACUCACAUAUGAGGAGUCACGUAAGCACACCCGUGAUUUGGGUUCUUCUUCCGGUUCUACUUUGCAAAAGCGUCGGAUUUGGGUUCCGAACUCCGCUCUUCCACCCGGUUAUACACCAAGGCCAUCUUGUGUGGCACCUCACCCAGUUCAGCAGUAUGCUCCACCCAGGCCUAUUGGUAGACCGCUUGUCAAAGCGGGUCCACGUCCUACUUCAGGAACUUGUUUCACAUGCGGAGAGCCAGGACACUAUGCACGUGACUGCUCUCAAACCAACUAUGCUCCACCCCAGCCUGAGGAGUCUGAUGGCCGUGGUAAGCCAUCACGCAAGAUGAUUAGUGUCAAGUCAGAUCCCACUGAAUGUGGAUGUGUGCAUCACGUCUCAGCUAGAGACGCUCAUGAUGAUCCGGAUGUCGUUCUUGGUACACUCCUUGUCAACUGUCAUCCAGCUUCGGUUCUGUUCGAUACCGGAGCAUCUCACUCCUUCAUCUCUGAAGGCUAUGCUCGUUUGCACGACAUGUCAUUUUGUGAUAUGCCAACUCCACUUGAAAUCCAAACUCCAGGGUCUAGAUGGCAAACUACCAGAAUAAGCCACGGUAAUGAAAUCCUUGUUGACAGACUUGUAUUCCUCGCAUCACUUAUAGCCCUCAAAUCUACAAAUAUUAACAUCAUCUUGGGUAUGGACUGGAUGAAAGCUCAUUAUGCCAAGAUUGAUUGUUACACAAGGUCUGUUCAGCUUACACACCCAUCUGGCAAGAUAGUCACCGUCUCCACUAGAGUUGCAAAGCGUCAGCUCUAUUCUCUUAAUGCCAACCCUCUUCCAGACCUUGAAGAUAUUCCGGUAGUCUGUGACUUUCCGGAUGUCUUUCCAGAGGAACUGCCAGGUAUUCCACCUGACAGAGAUGUAGAAUUUGUCAUAGAUCUUAUCCUAGGAACCACUCCUAUCUCUAGGAGACCUUACAAGAUGGCACCCUUAGAACUAGCUGAGCUUAAGAAACAACUCGAUGAAUCCUUGCAAAAGGGUUUCAUCCGUCCUAGUUCUUCUCCCUGGGCUUGCCCCGUCCUCUUCGUCAAGAAGAAGGAUGGUACGGACCGGAUGGUUGUAGAUCAUCGUCCCGUUAAUUUGGUCACGAUAAAGAAGAAGUAUCCGCUCCCCAGGAUCAAUGACCUGUAUGAUCAGCUUGCUGGAUCCUAGUCUUUUCCAAGAUGUAUUUGAGGUUAGGCUAUCACCAAAUCAAGAUCAGAAAUGGGGACAUUCCUAAGACGGCUUUUGUCACUCGUUAUGGCCAGUACGAGUACACCGUCAUGUCCUUUGGUCUAACCAAUGCUCCAGCUACAUUAUCUCACUUGAUGAACUCAUUCUUCAUGGAGUACUUAGAUAAGUUCAUCGUGGUUUACCUCGAUGAUAUUCUUAUUUACUCGAAGAACAAGGAAGAUCACGCCGAACACCUUAGACUUGUGCUAGAAAAACUCAGAGAGCACCGCCUUUAUGCCAAGUUCUCCAAGUGCGAGUUUUGGUUGCCAGAAGUGACCUACCUAGGCCACGUGAUCUCGGGUAAGGGCAUUGCCGUCAAUCCCGAGAGAGUUCAGGCCGUUCUUGAUUGGACUCCGCCUGAAACAGUUAAGCAAGUUAGGAGUUUCCUUGGUCUAGACAGUUAUUGUCGCUGAUUCGUUGAGAACUUCUCCAAAGUGGCCAAACCUCUCGCGGAACUUCUCAAGAAAGAUAAAAAGUUUGAGUGGUCCCCACAGUGUGAGCACAAUUUUCAGGAACUAGAAAGACGCCUGACUUCUGCUCCCAUACUUGUGCCACCGGAUUUCACUAAGGACUUUGUUAUCUACUGCGACGCCUCACGACAGGGACUAGGUUGCAUUCUUAUGCAAGAUCGCCAUGUGAUUGCCUAUGCAUCUCGACAGUUGCAUCCACAUGAGGAGAAUUAUCCUACACAUGAUCUAGAGCUUGCAGCCGUAGUCUAUGCACUUAAGACCUGGCGACAUUACCUUCUCGGUAAACGUUGCGAGAUUUACACCGAUCACCAGAGCCUCAAGUAUAUCUUCACCCAACCAGAUUUGAACCUUAGGCAAAGACGUUGGUUGGAGUUGAUCUCAGAUUACGACUUAGGGAUUACCUACACCCCAGGCAAGGGAAAUGUCGUGGCUGAUGCACUAAGUCGUAAGUCCUAUUGUAACAAUCUCAUGUUGCAGCAGGGCCAACCACUUCUUCAUGAGGAAUUCUGUAAGCUUAACCUUCACAUUGCUCCUCAUGGAUUCCUUUCUACCUUGGUGGCGAAACCUACUCUUGUGGAUCAUAUCAUAGAAGCCCAAAAGCAUGAUACGGGGAUUACCCGGAUCAAGAGAAACAUUGCUAAGGGCAUUGCUGGUAGUUUCUCUAUAGAUGAUCGAGGUGUUGUUUUCUUCGGGAAUCGCCUGGUGGUCCCCAAGAAGUAGCAUCUUCGGCAAUUAAUCCUUAAGGAGGCUCAUGAAUCUCCUCUCAUGAUUCAUCCCGGUAGUACUAAGAUGUAUCAGGACCUACGCCAUAGGUUCUGGUGGACUAGGAUGAAGAGAGAAAUCGCUUAGUUUGUUGCUAACUGUGAUGUUUGUCGUCGCGUGAAGGCAGAGCAUCAGAGACCUGCUGGCACCAUUCAGCCUUUAGCUAUUCCUGAAUGGAAAUGGGAUAAAGUUGGUAUGGACUUCAUCACCGGCUUUCCCAGGACCAAGGAAGGGAAUAAUGCUAUCUUCGUAGUCAUUGAUUGUCUUUCCAAAGUGGCUCACUUCCUACCUGUUCGAGAGAGUAUCACUGCUAGUCAACUCGCUGACUUAUAUGUCUCUCGAAUAGUGUCACUUCAUGGUGUUCCACUAGAGAUCAAUUCAGAAUGUGGUAGUCUUUUCACUUCUCAUUUCUGGGAGAGUUUCCAAACUGCCAUGGGCACCCAUCUUUCCUUCAGUACCGCUUUCCACCCUCAAUCAAGUGGUCAGGUGGAAAGGGUCAACCAGAUUCUCGAAGACAUGCUUAGAGCUUGUGUUAUCUCAUUCGGUAUGGAUUGGGAGAAGUGUCUUCCCUUUGCCGAGUUUGCUUAUAACAAUAGCUACAAAUCCAGCCUCAAGAAAGCUCCUUUUGAGGUUCUGUAUGGACGAAGAUGUCGAACACCUUUGAACUGGUCAGAAACUGGUGAAAGACAAUUCUUUGGACCGGAUAUGAUCCAGGAGGCAGAAGAGCAAGUUUGCAUCAUUCGUGAGAAUUUGAAAAUAGCCCAAUCUCGUCAAAAGAGCCAGUAUGACCGUAGUCAUAAGGAAGUGGCUUAUGAAGUUGGCGAGAAAGCUUACCUUUGGGUUACCCCUUUGAAGGGUACCCAUCGAUUCAGUAUCAAGGGCAAGUUGGCUCCUCGUUACAUUGGUCCCUUUCUCAUUCUCGCUAAACUAGGAGAGGUUGCCUACUAGUUGGAACUACCCCCACAUCUUUCUCGAGUUCAUGAUGUUUUCCAUGUCUCUCAACUCAGGCGUUGCUUCUCGGAUCCCAUCCGCGGAGUGGACCACGAAACACUUGAUCUGCAAGAAAUCCUCACUUAUCGAGAGUACCCCGUCCGCAUUCCGGAUCAAGCAGAGCGUGUCACUCGACGUCAUAACAUCAAGUUUGUCAAGGUUCAGUGGUCUCAUCAUUCCGAGAGAGAAGCUACUUGGGAGCGAGAAGAUCGUCUUCGACUUGAGUACCCCACUUUCUUUCUGCCAACUCCUGAAUCUCGGGACGAGAUCCUUCCGAGUGGGGGCGAGUUGUCACAUCCCUAGUUCUGGUAUGACCUAGGCUAGCCUUCAUGUUUGCAUCAUGUUUAAAUUUCAUUUAAAUUUGAAAUGGGGAUUUGUAAAACCCUCAGAAAUCAUUUAUGGAAAUGACCCAAAUAAAAAUUGCUCCAAAAGGGUCCAAGAAAAUGUUCAUGUCUCUCUCUGAAAAUAUUGGGAAGAGGUAAAAUUCAAACCAAUAUUUUUAGGAGCUCAUAAAUAUUUAUUUUGGCCAUUUGGAAUUAAUCCAGUAAUUAUUUGCGUUGGAUAAAUAUUUAUAUAUAUAUAUAUAAUAUUGUCCAAUAAUUCUGAAUUUUUGUGAGGGGCUUUGGAAUAAUCCUUUAGGCCCCUGCAAAAAUUGUCAGAAGAAAAUAAAUUGAUUUAGUAUUUUUAUUAAAUCAAAACAAAGGUCAAAAAAUAAAAAAGGAAACAGAAAAGGAAAAAAAACCUUACCUGGCCUCCUACCUGACAGCCCAACGGCCCAGCAGGCCAGCCCAGCCAGCUGGCCGACGCCAAUCGUCCCUGACCUCUCGCCAGGAGAACAGGGCGGUGGCCGAUGCGCGCGCGCCGCCGUGCCGCCACGCCACCUGCCUGGCUGGCCUCUCCCUCAUCGCCCUGGUCACUUUGCGCGACGCCACGCACCGCCCCGCACCUCUCUCACUCUCUCUCACUCUCCCUCCUCCCCUGGAUCCCUCUCUCUUGACCCGCCCGAGCGCUGCCGUCGCCGCCGCUCGCCGUUGCCGUAGCCAUCGACUUCCCCUCGCCCUCUCUCUGUGUCUGCAAGCUCUGCCACGUCUGCGUCUACCUCUUCGUCGAGCCACGCGCCUCGGGAGGCCCUGGAGCGCCUCCAUCGCUGUCGUCUUCAUCUCCGACCGCUGUGGAUCCCCAUCGUCGCACCGUCGACCUCAGCGCGUCCCCGAGCUCGCUGACGACGUCUACGAUCUCCCCGUGAGCUCUACUUCGUUCUCCCCUCCUUCCCGUGCUCGUUUGCCCCGCCUAGCUAGCUCAGCUGCCGCGCCCGAGACCUCAUCGCUGCCGGCCAUGGUGCCACCAUGGACGGAGGCCGAGCCAGCCACUCCCGCGUGUCACCGUGCUCCUGGUGACGCCAGGAGGCCGUAGAGGGCCUCCGCAGUUCCUGCCGUGCCCCGCAGCCCGUUUUCGCCCGGAGCCGUGCUCCGACCGCCGCCUCGAACUCGUUUCUGGCGAGCUCAGGCACCCCCGCAGCCUCUCGCUUGCUCCAAAUGGUGCGGGCGAGCUCCAGCUCCUCGUCUGUGAUCUCCACCGCCUAAAUGGUCGCCGGAGGGCGUUUCCCGAGCCCUCCACCGUGUUCGGCCUCGCCGACGGUUAAACGUCGGUGGGGUUUGACCCCUUUGACCUCGCGGGCCCGUCAUGUGGGCCCCAUGGGUCAAGUGAUUAGCUUAAGGCUAAUCAACAUUUAACAAAACCUGACACUGACAGUGGGCCCCAGCGCCACUAAUCCUAUAAUUAGGAUAAACUAACCCCCUAUUAACUAACCGGUCACUGACGUGUGGACCCCACACAUCAGGUUUGACCUGGUCAGCUCCGUUGACCUGCUGACGCGGGCAUGACGCAAUGCUCAUGCAAUAUUUCAUUUUUUGGUUUAAAAUUAAUCAGGAAAUUCCAGAAAAUGUUCAAAACUUCAAAAAUUCAUAGAAAUUCAACUGUAGCUCAUAUUGAAAUAAUUUAUAUAUGAAAAAUUAUCAGAAAAAUUCAAUCUAUCCAUCUGUACCACUUUCAUGCAUGUUCAACCAACUUAUACCACUGUAUAAGUGAAAACAUGAUAAUGGCAUUUUAAAUGCUAAAUAUGGAGUGCAUAUGAACCCUUGGUCCAUAUGGACUUCAUUUAAAUGGUUGCUAGAUGCAUUAUUGCAAUCAUAACAUCAUUACCAUGUUCAUGCAUCAUAAUGUUGCAUAUGCUUGUGUUUUGAUUUCCGACACCGUUCCUUCUCGAUAGGUCCUGCUCCGGAGAGUGUUCGAGAGUACCUGUCUGAGGAGCAGUGCCCCCUUGUUGAUCUACCAGGCAAGCAACCCCCCUUGUUCAUUCCGAUACAAUCCCACUCUCUCAUUCUUGCGCUCCUUUAUUGAAUUAGGACAACAACGAUUCAACUGCUACUUUAUGCUGCGGUAGUUGAACCCAUUCCUCUGCAUGACCUGUCAUUGCCACAGUAAAUAGUUAAAACCCACUAGCAUGUGUAGGAGUUGCUUGAGCCAUGUUGUGUUCUUGCCAUGCCAUGCCUGCUAUUGCUUAGAGUAUGUCAGGUCUGAUUCAUUGGGAAUGAAUUGGAGUACAGUGUUAUGUUCUGAUGUUGAUAGUUAAGCGUGUGAACACGAUUUGGUAAAGGUAGCGGUGAGAGGCCAUGUAGGAGUACAUGGUGGAUUGUCUCACUGGAACCGUCCCUAAGAACUGAGGUUCUGUGUAUGUUGUCCAAGGACUAGCUACUACCACAUAUUGGGUUCCGGUAACUCGACCCCUCUCGACUUAUUAGCCAACUUGAUCUCUGUCCAGGAGUUGCAAAUAGUUUCUGGUGUUUAUAGGUAGUGUUAUUUUUCUACCGAGUGGCACCCAGCAGGGUGGACUUGGGACAGACUAGGCACACGUGGCCCAGUGUACUGAGUGGCACCCGAAUGGUGGGCUCGGGAACCCUGUACACAUCGUUUGGGGCCGUGAGCGAAACCCCGGCCGGAUCUCCUUGCGAAUGGAACCUGAAUAGGCGAUAAACCUGGAUUAGAGUCCGGUUUGGUUAGUCAGGUCGUGGCCGACACCCUCGCCAGGCCUCCUCUUGAAGGUUGCCGAGAUACAUGACGUGUAUAUGGUGAUAAGUGGUGAGAGCGUGUGUGAAGAAGUACACCCCUGCAGGGUUAACAUGAUCUAUUUGAAUAGCCGUGUCCUCGGUUAUGGACUUCUUGGAUGCUUACGUGGUACAUAGAAAACUUAAAGUGGAUACUCUAAAAUGCUCAAGAUAAGUGUGAGUGCUACAGAUGGCCUUCCCGUGGAGAGACGGGGAUGAAUCCAUAGUAGUGUAUUGAUGUGGUGAUUAGUGGACUCGUGUGCGCUGCCUCAUCUCAAAGAAGUUUCUCGUUGUCGUAGAACAGGAUAGCCACUGAGUCAAAGCUAGCUUGCUGCAACUAAACCCCACAUUACCUUCUUGAUACAAAUGCAUGUAUGAUAGGAUCUGAUGUAAGUCUUUCCGAGUACCUUUGUACUCACGUUUUCUUUAUUUAUGUUUUGCAGAUGAGACAUCUGUCUCACUAGUAGUACCGCUUGGACUUCGACGAGUAGCUUGUUACCUCAGCUAUGAUCUUGUACCCUUGGGAGGGACUUGUAGAUAGUCAGGCUUUCCAACCUUUUUCUUUUGUAGUUGUCUGUACUCAGACAUGUAAUGCUUCCGUUGCUUGUAUGCUUUGAAUGAUGGGUCAUGUGACCCCUGUUUGUAUUUAAUGCUAUGUGGCUCUUCUGGGCCUUUAUCUAUAUGAGUUUGCGUUAUGUUGUGAUGCCAUGUUUCUCAACACAUACUUGCAUGUUAUGCGUACGUGUGACAUGUAUUGCUAUGUGUGGGAUCCAACAAUCUAGUUGUUUAUCCUUGGCAGCCUCUCUUAUGGGGAAAUGUAGUCUAGUGCUUCCUUGAGCCAUAGUAGUCCGCUACAGCCCGGUUCACCGGAGUCCUGCUAGCCCAGCACUACUGCUCAGGACACUUGACUGGCCGGCAUGUGUUUCACUUCGUUCCUGUGUCUGUCCCUUCGGGGAAAUGUCACGCGGUGACAUCCGGAGUCCUGUUAGCCCAAUGCUAUAGCCCGAAUUCACACGCUGCUGACCGACACGCUCGAUGUGAAUCAUGUAUGCCUGUCCCCAUAGGUUAGUGCCGCUUUGGGUUCACGACUAGCCAUGUCGGCCCGGGUUCUCUGUCAUAUGGAUGCUAGCGAUACUAUCAUAUAUGUGAGCCAAAAGGCGCAAACGGUCCCGAGCCAUGGUAAGGCGACACCCGUGGGAAUACCGUGCGUGAGGCCGCAAAGUGAUAUGAGGUGUUACAUGCUAGAUCAGUGUGACUUGGAAUUGGGGUCCCGACAGGUAUGGAAUCAACAUUUGACUUCGAAGCAACUUGAAUACCACAAAUAAAAGAAAACAAAGGAUUGGCUUGCAGAAUAAGCCGGAAUAAACAUAUGAUAGAGAUUUCGUCCGAAGUUUUCGUGGUGGGGCCUACACGGGCUUAAUCGUACAACACCAUCAUGUACAAGGCAGUGCACAUGACAUACGAAGCGUCCCCGAGUCAGCAUAGCCAAGGACUCUUUAAGACACAACGAGACCACUGUAAAACCAACCGUGGAUAGGCGGACCACUAGACGUCGAACCCCAAUUUCAUAUGAUACAUCUGUUGGAAAGAUAUCCUAAGAGCUACUUGAAUUCCCACUUAUAAACUCCCGAAACUUUUCGGUUAUGCAAUCAGGUGUUGGGGAUACAGGGGAAGCAUAAUAUCUCACCCAAAACUACACAAAUCCUACAUCCAGCUGUAUCCAUCCUUCAACACAUAACCAAGAAACCUUCGGAAAUCAUUUACCUCAACCUUCGAAAAGCAUCCAUUAUACGAGUUAUGGAGAUACUCCCGAACUCCCGCCCCAGUACUGGGUGGCGUCGAGGUUAUCUCACCAACAACUGCAUAAAAGAUAUUUUCGAUGUCGGUGAAAAACUCAGGUAUUCCAGAACUGCAACGAUAAAAUUGUGACGACAACACCUUGGAGCUCAACUCCCUGGGACACUGCCACAACCCCUAAAUGUCAGGAGGCACCAAGAGCAAUGUUCUCGUCACAAAACCAUCGGAACGAUUCCAAGAUACCCGCGUGAUCCUAAAUUUUUUUAGUGAAAUUUGAGAAGAGAAGAGUCAAAACUGUACGUCAGGAUGCCUCACCAGAGCGACGAAGGGACUGAGGAGUAAAAAUAAUCCUACUCUCCGAUAUAUAUAAUCCUAAAUGACUCAAAACAUUUUUUCUAGACUCAGUAAUGCCAGCAAUUCGAUCAAGCAGGGGGCUCCUAAAGUCGGGGAAGGCUCUGAUUACCAACUUGUAACGCCCACGAUGCGGCUAUAUCUCCCACGUGCCGGAGCACGACUUAGAGGCAUAACCGCAUUGUAGACAUGUCGCAAGUGAGGUAAUCUUCACACAAACCAUGUAAUACAUAAGGGAAAGAGAUACAUAGUUGGCUUACAAUCGCAACUUCACACAAUAACAUAAAUAAAUCAUUACAUUAACCAGAUACAAUCAAGGUCCGACUACGGAACCAAAAUAAAAGAAGACUACCCCAAAUGCUACACAGAUCACCGAUCGUCCCAACUGGGCUCCACUACUGAUCAACUGAAACAAAACAACACUA
rnacentral:lncRNA from 1 species